AACGAACGCUGGCGGCAUGCCUAACACAUGCAAGUCGAACGAGACCUUCGGGUCUAGUGGCGCACGGGUGCGUAACGCGUGGGAACCUGCCCUUAGGUUCGGAAUAACUCCCCGAAAGGGGUGCUAAUACCGGAUAAUGUCUUCGGACCAAAGAUUUAUCGCCUUUGGAUGGGCCCGCGUUGGAUUAGCUAGUUGGUAGGGUAAAAGCCUACCAAGGCGACGAUCCAUAGCUGGUCUGAGAGGAUGAUCAGCCACACUGGGACUGAGACACGGCCCAGAAUCCUACGCGAGGAAGCAGUGGGGAAUAUUGGAAAAUGAGCGAAAGCCUGAUCCAGCAAUGCCGCGUGAGUUAUGAAGGCCUUAGGGUUGUAAAGCUCUUUUACCCGGGAUGAUAAUGACAGUACCGGGAGAAUAAGCUCCGGCUAACUCCGUG
rnacentral:rRNA from 1 species